GCUGGAGUUACUAGUAAUCGCAGAUCAGAAUGCUGCGGUGAAUGCGUUCCCGGGUCUUGUACACACCGCCCGUCACACCACGGAAGUUGGGGGCGCCCGAAGCCACUUAGCUAACCCUUUUGGGAAGCGAGUGUCGAAGGUGAAAUCAAUAACUGGGGUGAAGUCGUAACAAGGUAAC
rnacentral:rRNA from 1 species